AUGGGAUUACGAAGUUAAAGAAUGUUGAGUGCCAAUGGUAUUACCUUAGAUCACACGUGAAUUCUGUGAGGCAGUGGAGUGGAGUAAAUGGAGUAAAAGUGAAAGAUUCGACUGGCACUGAAGGAAGGAGACAACAGUUUUGGCUGCAGAAAAACCUUUAAUGCCACAUGGGCUGGAUGGGCAUCCCAGCCGGAAGAGGGGAUUGUUCCUUAACCGGACAGGAGGCUCCUAACAAACAGAUAGGCAUUCCGGCUGGGUAGGAGAAAGGAAUCGGACCAGAACGAAGGACCAAAAGGGAUGGAUGGACAGCCCACUGAAAAGAGAAGAUGUCGCUGGGGUUUUUUUUACUUCCCCAAAACGCUAGAUGGCAGUGGCCCUGGAUAUCAGUGCCCAGUGGGAAGCCAGCAGGGCAUGCCGGGAGAUGUAAUCUGGUAGAGCAGCCCUGCUGGGGUCACUGGGUGCUGCAAGAGGAUGCUGCAGGGAGACAAGCUCCCUGUUAUAAUGGACUUUCAAAAGACCUGGAAGUGCUUCUAUCGGGCAAUCACCCUGGCACCAGAAGUACUCUGGGGUUCAUAAUAAAAGGGACCACACUCCCUUUUCCAGGCGAGUCGGAGCU